AAUACCUUAAAAAAAAUUAAAGGUAAAAUUAAUACAGAAGAAAAAUCUAAACGAGGUAUUUUUCUUUAGGAAUAGUCUGACUGUAGAGGAGAUUUCUGAGUCUAUUCUUGCCCUGUCAAGAACCAGCAUAUCAAAAUCAGCAUGUUGAAGCCUUGCGCUUAGGAGAGAACUUCCAUUCAGACAUUCUCUUGAAUUGCCAGCCCUUGAGCUGCUCUCCAGCCUGGUCUUCUUUAAUUUCCAUUAAGAUGUCACUGUAACCUUUCUUAGUAGACAACCAAGGCAGUGUGAAAGAAGGAACAUGGAGCUGAGUCAGGGCAAUGGAACUGAACAAGCGGCAAACCAGCUCGGGUGACUUUGGACAAGAGCAGUAACGACAAUCACCACCUCAGUCCUCCCAUCACUGGUUAUUAACACCUCACUAUGUCCAGUUCUCAAACAGGUUACCCACUCCUCUUCUCCUGAUUCUAUCAUCUAAACUUAAGGAAGACAAGAAGGAAGGAAGCAGGUCCACUGGACCCAAGAAGAAUCUGAAGUGUGAACUGAAGCCCAUAGAGAGAGUAAAAACAAAAACUUCAACAAAGAAGGCGGCAGUAGCUGGUGGCACCUUCGCCUGGAGGGGAACUAACUGUAAGGAGCUGUUGGAACCUGGGGACACUCAGUCAUGGUGAUGGUGUCAGUUGGCAACCCCAGAGGCCUCUCCUGAGACACGUGGCAGUAGAGGGGAGCCCUGGAUUGGAGGACUGCACUGGCUGGCAGUGAGAGUAGAGGACUCGGUCCUCCUCCCAUGGGUGACAGUGAUUAGCCAGGAGCCGUUUUGAAGCCAGAUCCAAUAAGCCUCAAACCUAGAACUCCUGCUGACUUCCUCCAGCAGCUCCGAGCUGUGUGGAGAUCCCUGGAAACUGCUUGGACUGCAGCGAGCCCAAUGAGUCUGGUCUAGGGGCAAGCCUGCUAAGGUCAUCUACUAUUCCGCCAUAAAGCAAUGGCUGGCUUGCUGGAAUACAGUGGCAUGAUUCAGGACUCUGUCUCCACAGGCUGUUUACUAGUGAACUCAGAGAAAAUCCUGAAGUGGACUCUGUGGUUUAUUUUUUUUUGUUUUCUUUUCUUGUUUGUUCAUUUUGUUUUAUUAUUCAGUUUGUUUUUUAUUACUCUUUCUCUUUCAUUAUUUUUUUUUUAUGAGCAUGAGAGUGAUUCCUAUCCUCUUUGUGGAUGUGGUUCUAUUUUGUUCUAUCUUUUAUCUCUUCUAUCUCUCUUUUCUUUCAAUCUUCUGCACCAUUUUCCCCAAGUUGGCAGAACCUAUCUUGGUGCUCCAACUUACUUAGAACCUCUUUCUUUUUCUGCUAUUCUAUUUUCUCCUUAAUCCAUUUUAAAUUAACCCUAAGAGCAAAACUGACACAUUAUGGACUUACAUAUUGCAUAAAAUUAUCUGGUUUAUUUUACAUUUUGUUAUAUGAUCACAAAUCUAUUUCAUAUGGUUAAAAGUUACAAAUUAAGGAUUAGCUCAGUUUGUUGUUCUACAUGCUGUGUUUGACUCUAUUAGUACCACUAUAGCCAAAAUUGACAUAAUUGUUCUAAACAGCUGUUGUCCCUGAAAAUCCAUGACUGAGAUUAACUAAGGGCCACAGAAAAUACAGUGGCACAGUACCAAAGAAUCAGGGACUUGGCCAAACCAGCAAUAACAACUCAUCUCCAACAACAGACUUCUAACAGACUCAAAACCCAAAACCAGCUACAUCUGGAAGAUAUUUCAGAGAAGGAAUCAUCACCUACGUGUCCUAAAUGGCACAAUAAAGCAACCCACCAUAGGCAACUUACAAACAUCAUCCCAGGAGUUAAACUAAAAAGAAAAGAGAUGAGAAGACACUUAAACAAGAUGCAACCCCAGACAUCCAGUUCACCAAAGGCAAACCCAGAGAGCAAUGAGGUGGGACAAUCCAAAAGCCCCCCAUCAGGUCUCUCCAAAGUGGUAACAACAAAGCAAUUGGCUCUGGAAAAAAUGAAAUCAGAAACAAUCUCUCAGAUAACUCCAGAGAUUACAAAAUACGCACUCUUAUGGUUUAUAUAUCAGAUCUUAUGCAAGUAUGGACAUGGCUGAAUAUAGUAUUUGUGAUUGGUUCAUUGUCUAGUGCUCAGACUGGUGGUGUGAGUGCUAGACCCACCUAGGGGUGGAGCCAGGAUACAAUGUAACUGGUGGAAGAAGGCAUGUUUUUCUCUUUUGCUCUUUGCAGCGCCCAUACAUGGUGGCCCCACCACGCCACCCUGCUGCUUGGAGCUGAGUAUGGACUGAAACCUCCAACUAUAAGAAAUAAACCUUUCCUUCCUUCAUAUUGGGGGUCGGGUAUUUUGUCACAAUAAUGAGAGAAAAGUAACCAAAACACAUACCAUGCUUAGCAAUGUUAGAGCAGAUACAGACAAAAAAAACAGAUGAGCUUAAGCAAAUUAUGGAAGCACAGCAUAGGAAACAAAUGGAAUCCAUAAGCAGAUUCAAGCAGAUAUCCAGGAGAAUAAAAACUUCAUUGAAAGUAUUCAAAGAAGAUUAGGCCAAUGUGAGGCCAGGAUCUCAGAUAUUGAAAACAGGCUUGCAGUUAGUAACCAGGAAUAGAAAGAUUUUUCAAAACUAGCAAGGUAUCCUGAGAAAUCAAUCCAGCAGUUGCUAGAUGAGACAAAGAAUAACUUAAGAUUAAUUGUAGUCAAUGAACAGCAGGCAAUACCAAAAAUGACAUUAAAAACAUAUUCACAGACAUCAAGACAGAGAACUUGCCUGGUAGAGAAAAAGAAUUUGACAAAUAAGGGAGGCAUACCAAAUUCCAAUUAGCAAUAAUAAAAAAAAAUCUACAACCAGGCAUAUCAUUGUCAAGAUUCCAGAAAUUCAACACAUGAACAGAAUCUUAAAAGUUGUUAUGGAAAAAAAACAAAUCAUCUAUAAAGAAAAGCCCAUCAGAAUCACAGCUGACUUUUCAGCACAAACUCUCCAAGUCAAAGAGAGCUUGGAGUGAAGUACUCCAUGUUCCAAAGGAAAACAGCUUGCAACCCAGAUUGAUAUAUCCCACAAAAAUAUCUUUCAAAGUUGAUGGAGAAAUAAGAUACUUCCAUGACAAAGAACAGAUGAGGAAAUUUAUGACCACCAAACCAGCACUCCAGAAUGUUCUGAAAGACAUUCUAGAAAGAGUAAUAAAGACUACAGCUCCGUGAACCCCAACAGAAGGAAUCUACCAUGAAAGGCAAAAAAAUUAGAGGGAAGAAAAAAAGGUUGGGGGGGGGCAACAACAGGAAAAUAACAUGACAAGGAUAAAUCAAUACAUAUUGGUUUUAACUAUCAUUUUUUUUUUUUUGCACCAGGGAUCAAACUCACAACUGUGUGCUUACAAGGCAGGCACUUAUACCACGGAGCUAAAUCCCCAGCCCCUUAACCAUCAAUGUUAGUGGUCUCAAUUUACCACUCAGAAGACACAGAAUGGCAGAAUGGAUCAAGAGGCAAGAUUCAACAUUAUGCUGCAUACAAGAAAUACAUUUAAUUCAGAAAGAAAUUCAUAGACCGAAAGUCAAAGGAUGGAAAAUAAUACUCCAUGCAUCAGGAAUCCAGAAAAAAGCAUGGGCAGCAAUUGUAUUUGUAGACAAAGUGAAUUUCAAGCCAAGACUGAUUAAUAGAGAUAAAUAAGGUCAUUACAUCUUUGUAAAGGGAACAAUCCAAGAGGAAAGGAGAACAGUUAUAAAUGUAUAUGCAACAAAUACCAGUGCACAACUAGCUAUAUAAAAUAAUUAUUAAUGGACAUGAAAAAUCAAGUAAACUCUAAUACAAUUGUAUCGGGAGACUUCAAUAUUCCACUGUCACAAAAAGACAGAUCAAUUAGACAAAAAUGAAUAAAAAAUUAGAACUAAAUCAAUCUUUUGAGCAAAUGGACUUAGUAGAUUACUGUCUAAAGAGUGUUCUGCCCCACAACAUCAGAAUACACAUUCUUAGCUGCACAUGGGACAUUCUCCAAAACAGACCAUAUGCUGGCUCACAGAACAUGCUUAAGUAAAUGUGAAGGAAUUGAAAUUACCCCAUGCAUAUUAUCAGACCACAGUGCAAAGAAAUUGGAAAUCCAUGCCAAAGGAAAUAUAAAAACUUCACAAACACAUGGAAAUUAAAUAGCACCCCACUGAUAGGUCACAGAUGAAAUUAAGAAAUUAGAGCUUUUGGAAUUGAAUAAUAAUGACAAUAUAACAUACUGGAACUUGUGGGACACAAUGAAAGCAGUCUUAAGAGGGAAAUUUAUAGCAAUAAAUACCCAUAUUAGAAAAACAGACCAAGGGGGCUGGGGAUUUAGCUCAGCGGCACAAGCGCCUGCCUUGCAAGCAGGCAGUUGUGAGUUCAAUCCCUGGGUCCGAUAAAAACGAAAAAGACAAAAAAAAAAAAAAAAAAAGAAAAACAGACCAAGCACAGAUAAACAACUUAAUGUUGAAUCUUAAACUUCUAGAAAAAGAACAGCAAGUUAAACCAAAAGCUCAUACAAGAGAGGAUAUUAUAAAGAUCAGAGUAGAAAUUAACACACUGGAGACAAAAAAAAAAAUACAAAGAAUCAAUGAAUUGAAGAGUUGGUUCUUUGAAAAAUUAAACAAAAUUGACAAACACUUAUCCAAUCUUAUCCAAAAAAGGAAAGAAAAGACUCAAACCCACAUAAUUAGGAAUGAAAAAUGCAAGAUCACAACAGAGCCUGCAGAAAUCCAGAAAAUCAUAUAUUCAUACUUGGAAAACUUGUAUUCUAACAAGAUGGAAAAUACUAAAGAAAUGGACAGAUUCCUAGGUACAUAUGAAUUUCCAAAAUGAAUCAAGAGGAUGUAAAAAUCCUAAAUAACCCAAUAUUAAUAAAUGAAAUUGAAGAUACAAUUAAAAACCUAUCAACAAAGAAAAGCUCAGGCCCUGAUGGAUUCACUGCUGAAUUCUACAAGAAACACCACUAUUUCUCAAACUCUUUAAUGAAAUUGAAAGGGAAGCAAUACCCCCAAAUUCAUUCUUGGAAGCAAGCAUUAUUCUGAUUCUAAAACCAGAGAAGGACCCAACUAAAAAAGAGAAUUACAGGCCAACUAAUGCAAAAAUCCUCAAUAAGAUACUGGCAAACAAGACUGCAGAAAAUCAUAAAAAAGAUUGUACAUCAUGAUCUAGUAUUCAACCCAGGGAUGCUGGGAUGACUCAAGAUACAUAAAUCCAUAAAUGUAAUACACCAUAUUAACAAAGCUAAGGACAAGAAUCAUAUGAUCAUCACAAUAGAUGCAGAAAAAGCUCUUGACAAAGUCCAGUACCCAUUUAUGAUAAAAACCCUAGAGAAAAUUGGAAUAGAUGGCCUUUAUCUCAAUCUGAUAAAGGCCAUCUAUGACAAACCAACAGCCAACGUCAUAUUAAAUGAACAAAAAUAGAAAGCUUUUACUUUAAAAUCAGAAACAACACAAGAAUGCCCAUUGUCUCCACUCUAAUUCAACAUAGUCCUGGAAACUUCAGCUGGAGCAAUUAGACAACAGAAAGAAAUAAAAGGAAUAUAGAGAUAGGAAAGGAAGAAGUUUUACCAUUGUUAUUUGCAUUUGACGUGAUAGUCUACUUAGAAGACCCAAAAACUCUACCAAAAGACUUCUAGAUUUAAUAAGCAAAUUCAGUAAUGUAGCUGGUUACAAAAUCAAUACUCAAAAAUCAAUAGCCUUCUUGUAAACUCAUUGAGAGAGAAAUCAGGGAAACAACACCUUUCAUGAUAGCAUCCAAAAGAAAGAAAGAAAGAAAGACCUAGGAACCAAUCUAACAAAGGCUGUAAAAGGCCUCUACAUUGAAAACUACAGUUCUCUGAAAAAGGAGAUUAAAGAGAAUGUUAGAAAAUGGAGAGAUAUACCAUGCUGUUGGGUAGGAAGAACCAAUAGUGAAAAUGGCCAUACUUCCAAAACUGUUAUACAGAUUCAAUGAAAUCCCAAUCAAAAUUCCAAAAGUAUGUAUCACAGAAUUAGAAAAACAAUCUUAAAAUUCAUCUGGAACCAGAAGCGAUCUAGAAUAGCAAAGGCAAUUAGAGCAACAAAAACAAGAUAAGGGGGGCCUCACAAACCCUGACUUGAAAUUAUACUAUAAAGCUACUGUGAUAAAAAUAGUGUGGCACUGGCAAAAAAACAGACCCAAAGAUCAAUGGAAUAGAUUAGAAGAUGCAGAAACAACUGCAGACACACAAAGCCACCUUAUCUUUCACAAAGGUGCCAAACACAUUCACUGGAAGAAAGAUAACCUCUUUCUUUCAGUUAUAAAUGGUGCUGGAAAACUGGCUCUAUACAUGCCAAAGAUUAAAGCUGGACCCAUAUCUUUCGCCAUGUACUAAGCUAAAAUCAGAAUGGAUCAAAGAUCUUAAUAUUAAAACAGGAACAUUAAAUGUGCUGGAAGAUAGAGCAGGUAAAACUAUUAAAGAUAUUAGAGUAGGCAAAGACUUUAUGAACAAAACCCACACUGCAUAGGAACUAUCACAAAGAAUCAACAACCAGGAUCUCAUCCUACUGAAAAGCUUCUGUACAGCAAGAGAAACUACCAACAGAGUGAAGACACAACCUACAACAUGGGAGAAAAUGUUCACCAACUGUUCCUCAGACAAAGGAUUACUAUCGAAAAAAUAUAAAGAAUUCAAAAAGAUCAGUCUUCCCAGAUUUAAACACCCAAUCAAAAAAUGAGCAUCUGAGAUGAGUACACACUUCUCAGAUGAAGAAAUACAAACAACAAAUAAACACAUGAAAAAAUGUUAAAUAUCACUGGUCAUUUGAGAGAUGCAAAUUAAGACAACACUGAGAUUCCACCUCACCCCAGAAAGAAUGGCUAUUAUCAAGAAAUCAAGCAAUAACAAAUGCUGGAGGGGCUGUGGGGAAAAAUGAACUUUUCUCCACUGUUAGUGGGAAUGCAGACUGGUGCAAUCACUGUGGAAAUCAGUGUAGAGACUCCUCAAAAACUACCAUUGGAGAUUCCAUUCAACCCUGCUAUUCCUUCUGGGAUCUUCCCAAAAGAAUUUAAAAAAUCAUCUCACAUUGUAUUUUUAUACAAAGGAAUACUACCCAGCCAUAAAGAAUGAUAAACUGGAUACUUUUAUAGGUAAAUGGAUGUAUUUUGAAAACACAGUGAAAUAAGACACACAUGUAAACAUUGUAUUAUUUCAUCAAAACAUCAUAUUGUUUCAUUAAAUCCUUAAAACAAAAAGUUGGACCACGUGAUGAAAUAAAGAUUGGAGGAAGGGGAAAAAUAACAAAACAACAAAACAAGGAGUUGGUAUGCUAGGAGAGAAUUAGGAGAAAUGGUAAAAAUUCAAAUUAAGUUUAUUUCCCAUAAAAAAGGGAAAAAGAAUUUAUGUAACAGAGGCUGGUGAAGCUGGAAAGUAGAGGUAGAAAAAUCAAACCUUAAGGCCUUUGAGAAGAGAACAUAAUAGAACAGGACAUCGAGGAGGUGAACAAAAGUGCUUCAGCGUGAAUCCAAAACACAAGGCAGAGGUUUGAAUGAGAAGAGAAAGGAUAACAACCAAAAUGUAAAAAGUAAUAGGGGAGAGGACGGCCACAGCACAUGCACAGGACAGGGCCGAGGAAGGGUGACUGGCACACCAGUGCCUCUCAGGAUGUUCAUGUGUUAUAGGUGCUCCUUAGAAAAACAUGAAGAGGGC